rnacentral:rRNA from 1 species
GACGAACGCUGGCGGCGUGCUUAACACAUGCAAGUCGAGCGAUGAAGCACCUUCGGGUGUGGAUUAGCGGCGAACGGGUGAGGAACACGUGAGGAAUCUGCCUUCCACUCUGGGAUAACUCCGGGAAACCGGGGCUAAUACCGGAUACUUUCAACUGGCGGCAUCGCCGGUUGAAGAAAGUUUUUCGGGGGAAGAUGACCUCGCGGCCUAUCAGCUUGUUGGUGAGGUAAUGGCUCACCAAGGCGACGACGGGUAGCCGGCCUGAGAGGGGGACCGGCCAAACUGGGACUGAGACACGGCCCAGACUCCUACGGGAGGCAGCAGUGGGGAAUAUUGGGCAAUGGAGGAAACUCUGACCCAGCGACGCCGCGUGAGGGAUGAAGGCCUUCGGGUUGUAAACCUCUUUCAGCAGGGAAUAAGCGAAAGUGAAGGUACCUGCAGAAGAAGCACCGGCUAACUAUGUGCCAGCCGCCGCCGUAA